GACGAACGCUGGCGGCGCGCCUAACACAUGCAAGUCGAACGAGAGAUGAGGAGCUUGCUCUUCAAAUCGAGUGGCGAACGGGUGAGUAACGCGUGAGGAACCUGCCUCAAAGAGGGGGACAACAGUUGGAAACGACUGCUAAUACCGCAUAAGCCCACGGCUCGGCAUCGAGCAGAGGGAAAAGGAGCAAUCCGCUUUGAGAUGGCCUCGCGUCCGAUUAGCUAGUUGGUGAGGUAACGGCCCACCAAGGCAACGAUCGGUAGCCGGACUGAGAGGUUGAACGGCCACAUUGGGACUGAGACACGGCCCAGACUCCUACGGGAGGCAGCAGUGGGGAAUAUUGCACAAUGGGGGAAACCCUGAUGCAGCGACGCCGCGUGGAGGAAGAAGGUCUUCGGAUUGUAAACUCCUGUUGUUGGGGAAGAUGAUGACGGUACCCAACAAGGAAGUGACGGCUAACUACGUG
rnacentral:rRNA from 1 species